UGAUACCUUUUAUCGCAUGUCGCGUCUGGUUAGGACACGGGCUUGACUGGUAACGCUACUAUCUGGCUCAUGUUCGCACCGCGCCACCGCUAAACUGUUCCAAAAAGAGUCAUGAACGCGACGGACUCGAGGAUGAAGAAAGCGGUCAGGUGGAGCAGAGGGAACGUUCUGCGAAAUGUAGCAAAAUGAGUGACCUGUUCAGGGCUUCAAUGGCAGGUUUUCUCAGGCCAGGAGAGAGUUUCAGAUUAGAACAUCUGGAGUUUCAUGUCGAAUCGCCAUCAUUCUCCCACCGAGACCCGAGUGAAACCAUUAGGCCAAUGAAGACAGAAGAGCAAGUUUGACUGCGUCGACACACACUGUGUUCCGAAGGAGGAAAGAGGAUGAGUGAGCACAGACAUGAACAAGUGACAGAUCUAGGGACAGACAGACUCAGUCCCAGAGUAGAAGAAGAGAUCUGACAAUGAUAAUCAGGUCAGUGUGCCGGCUGGGACGCGUUCCACUCCAUCCGUCCCCUGAGAACCAAUCAUUGGUUUGUUGCCUCUCUGUGGAUACAGAAGAGAGAGAGACCAGCGACUUCUGUCUGCAGCAAUCUGUUACUUUGGGUGGAUUAUUUCUAAUGCUGACAAGCAGCUCCCCACAGUAUUUGCUCCAAAUGUGUUUAAACACUUUUAUUUUGGUUUUGUUAUUUUUAUGGAAUAUCAGAUUAAAUCUAAUAUAAUUAUGUAACUUUUAAAGCCAGUGAUUCUCAAGGACAGAUAGUCAUCAUCUCAAUAUAAUUUAUAGAAACUAAAUGUUAAUUACAUUUGUAUUUUGGAAAUUUUAAAUAUUUUUAA